UCCAGAUUCUAGCAAGGAGGUGUGGAUCUACUGUAAGCCUGGAUAACGAUGUAAAAAGAGAUUUAUUGCGGCAAAAUAUGCCCCGAUACAGCCGUUGGACAGAUUGCUAGGCAAAAGGCACAAAAUUACUGGAUCUCAGAAAGCUGUGGGAUAACGGAGGUGUGCUACUUUUUUACUACUCCCAAGGUCCAAGUUUCCCUUUAAUGUAUGUCACUACAGCUAAAAAGUAUGUAAAUUGUAUUUUAUUUGUAUCUACAUAAAACACUAAUAAGUAAACUGCUCUGUUAUAGCAAGUGUUGAAUUAACAAAUGGCUAAUAAUAUACUAUAAAUAAUAGAAUUGCAUUUGAUUUUUUUUUACUGUAUUUAAAAUAAUCUAAAGUUUGUUCUAAAGAUCAUUGCUCAGAAUGAUACAAUAAUGGUUGAUUAUGAAUUACUUAUACAUAUAGAUAUAUACAUUUUCUGAAGAUGGCUUUCUGUUUUGUUUACAGUCGAUGCCUUCUUUGACAUUCCUUGUGUUGUCGAAAACACUGUUCUCAAAGUCCUGCCAGACUUCUCUCUUUCUUUCUAUCUGUUUUUCUGUGCCCCCUUAAUCUUUAUCCCCUGCCUCCUUUCUCUUUUCUGCCUUUUCUAUCGGUCACAGACACUGUUCUGUACCAGGCGACCUCAAGGACCAGGUGGUUACAGACACUGUUCUGUGCCAUCUGUAUUAAAGGACCAGGUGGUUACAGACACUGUUCUGUGCCAUCUGUAUUAAAGGACCAGGUGGUUACAGACACUGUUCUGUGCCAUCUGUAUUAAAGGACCAGGUGGUUACAGACACUGUUCUGUGCCAUCUGUAUUAAAGGACCCAGGUGGUCACAGACACUGUUCUGUACCAUCUGAAUAACCUGUGAAUAAGGACCCAGACGGUCACAGACACUGUUCUGUACCCUCUGAAUAACCCGUGAAUAAGGACCCAGACGGUCACAGACACUGUUCUGUACCAUCUGAAUAACCUGUGAAUAAGGACCCAGGUGGUCACAGACACUGUUCUGUACCCUCUGAAUAACCUGUAAGUAAGGAAACGGACGAUCACAGACACUGUUUUGUACACUUGGAAUAUCAAAAAAAGAGACACUGUUCUGUACCAUCUGAAUAUUAAAAAGAGACACGCUUUUUGUUAUUGUUCUCAUUUUAUCCUGUGCAGUGUUUUCUUGUGAUUUGUUUCAGUUCAGAUGACCUAAAGAAGCAAACCAUCUUCCCUCUGACCUUAUCUACAGUUGAAGACACAUUCACAACAUUCACUGAAGCUAUAGUUAACUGAAUUGUCAUAUAUUUAAUAGCAGUACAUAUAAUAUUAACACCCUUUACAGUCUAGAGUAUAACGUACUACUGUUGUAUCUACUUUA